GUGCUCGCUUCAGCAGAACAUAUACUAAAAUUGGAACAAUACACAGAAGAUUAGCAUGGCCCCUACGCAAGGAUGACAAACAAAUUCGUGAAGCAUUCCAUGUAUUU
rnacentral:snRNA from 1 species